GUUUAAGUGGUGUUAAGGCACGUAGGGUUUUCGUCUUUAAGGUGAGAAUUAUCUCCUUAAAUU
rnacentral:tRNA from 1 species